rnacentral:rRNA from 1 species
GACUACCGGGGUAUCUAAUCCUGUUUGAUCCCCACGCUUUCGUGCCUCAGCGUCAAUAAAGGUCCAGUUAGCUGCCUUCGCAAUUGGUGUUCUAUGGCAUAUCUAUGCAUUUCACCGCUACAUGCCACAUUCCGCCAACCUCAUCCUUAUUCAAGCUAUACAGUAUCAAAGGCAAUUCCACAGUUAAGCUGUAGCCUUUCACCCCUGACUUAUACAGCCGCCUACGCACCCUUUAAACCCAGUGAUUCCGGAUAACGCUUGCACCCUCCGUAUUACCGCGGCUGCUGGCACGGAGUUAGCCGGUGCUUAUUCUUCUGGUACCUUCAACACCCCAUAAAUAGAGUGGUUUAUUCCCAGAUAAAAGCAGUUUACAACCCAUAGGGCAGUCAUCCUGCACGCGGGAUGGCUGGUUCAGGCUUGCGCCCAUUGACCAAUAUUCCUUACUGCAGCCACCCGUAGG